AUAUCAGUCAUGCAUAGCAUAUCAAUAAGCGGAGGAAAAGAAACUAACAAGGAUUCCCUUAGUAACGGCGAGUGAAGCGGGAAGAGCUCAAAUUUGAAAUCUUCAAGGUUUUACCUUGACGAAUUGUAGUUUAAAGAAGUGUUUUCUGUUGAAGUUUUGGUAAAAGUUCUUUGGAAUAGGACAUCAUAGAGGGUGAGAAUCCCGUAUUUGACCAUUAUUUUCAGCUGUGUGAUACACUUUCAAAGAGUCGGAUUGUUUGGGAAUGCAGUCCAAAAUGGGUGGUAAAUUUCAUCUAAAGCUAAAUAUUGGCGAGAGACCGAUAGCGAACAAGUACCGUGAGGGAAAGAUGAAAAGAACUUUGAAAAGAGAGUUAAACAGUACGUGAAAUUGUCAAAAGGGAAGCGUUUGACACCAGUGUUGUUUUCUCGAAAAUCAAUUAAAAAAAGUUGGAUUUUGUGUUGUAUUGACCUUAACAGCUUUCUGCACUCUUUUCCUGUUUUUUUUAAUGCACUUUUCGUUUAACAAGUCAACAUCAGUUUCUUUUGUUGUAAAAGGGUCAUUGGAAGGUGGCUUUCUUUUCGGAGAAAGUGUUUAUAGCCUUUGAUCUCUGCAAUCGGAGAGACUGAGGUCUGCAGCGUAGAUCCUUCGGGGUUAGAUACAUUUGUGCUAAGUUAUAACCUUUCAUAGACAACUUGUUGACUAUGUUUUAGUCAUGUAGCUUACUCGCUUAUGCUAUUUUACCUACGCUUAGGAUGUUGAAGAUGUAGCACAUCAU
rnacentral:rRNA from 1 species